AUUCAUAUCUAUCAUUGUAGUUAAGGGAACUCUAGAUCAGUAAUCAUUGUGCCAAAGAACAAAUUUAAUGAUGGGUUGUCUGGUCUUGUAUCAAAAAUUGAACGCUUCAUUAAUAGGGAGAUUAGCACCUAGAAAAUGUUAAAUGCUGAAAAGAUAGAAUAGCCAAGGAUGGUGAUUAGAGAGAGAAACUUCACGCAGUUCAAACGAAGUCUAAAUGGAUUUUAGGGGGAUCCGAGUUAGACUAUAUGAAGGGUGAUAACAAUAAGAAUCGUAUUUUCAAAUAGUGUCUGGUGGGGAGUUUCACGAAUUAUAAUAAAAUUUCCUCCCGAAACAAUAUCCGAAAGUGGAUAAGUUAGACAUGGAUAGGCAUCCACAAUAUCCAAGUUUUUACCAGAAUGGAACCCAAUUCUUGUUUGAAUCCCAAUAUAAAAAAGAUGUUAAACAUAUUCUAAAGGGAUAAUGAAAACAAGGCAAGAGCAUUAAGCUGGACUGGUGGUUGCCAACAAUGGGGGCGUACCUAUUGCAAACCAAGUUCAAAUGGUUUUGGAUCAAAGUUUUUGUUCUCCCCUUACAACUCUAGUUUCCAGAAGUGAUGGAAGAAAUUUAGAAAAAAUAUGGUGAUUGGCUGGAGACGGAGGAGGCGAUGGAACUCAAGAACCAUCUGAGAUAGGCCUGAAUCAAAGUCAAAGACCGCAUGGAGAAAAUUUUGAUGACAGUCAAAGUAAAAGAUAGAGAAUGGAUUUUCACACUUUCGAUGUAGUGCAAAACUUUGGAAAAUGGUUCAGAGAAGUCAAAAAAGAUGACAACAGUAGGUUGGUGAAGACCUUUCACAAAAGUGGGGAGAGAAAAGUCAGGUUAGAUUACCGAGGAGAAAAAAAAAUCAGAUAGCUGAAAGAGGAAUAGUGAUGGAAGAACCACUGGACAUUAAUGUGGAGGGACGUUUUUACAUGGUGUAUAAACUACUCUCAUGUGGCAGCUACCAACAACCCUAAGUUGGAACUAAGGCCUUCUGAAUUUUCGGCCACCAACUCAUUUAAAUAAAACUGGGUCAUUUUUAAAGCUAAAUAUUUAGCUCGGGGAGAAAAUAAGAACCCCUUAACUGCAGAGCCUUUCAUAGACACAAUUAACUUUGACCUGAACAAAACUAUUGAAGGUAGAAGUUCUGAACAAAACUAUGAAACUGAGAUGAUGAAAAUAUAUACGCAUAUGCAAGAUGGAAGUCUGACACUCUUGACUAUUGUGCGUUUUGUCCAGAUGGAAACAAACUUGAAAAUUGAGUUGGUUGAAAUUGAUGAAGGGAGAAGAAAAGCAGUGAAAAAUCAAAUAAUUCUUCUUGAAGAGCCUUCUCCCAUUCAAUCCGACCCCAGUAACAAUAGUGAGGAGGUAGAGGUAAGAGCAACAUCAUUGGUACGGAACAUCAUUAGAUGAAGCAAACAAUUUGGUGCAAUGUUCAAUGGGCUAGAAAAAGAUAUAGAAAUACUUUUUGAGAAACUCGACUAGAGAAGGGGCAUACCUAAGACCAGCAACAAUACUAAAAUACUAAUUAAUUGGUCCCAAAAAAGGUUCAUAAUCUUUGAUAUGUGAUAUAAAAUACAAAUAUGGGAACUUAGAAGUGAAUGGUGGAAAGGAAGAAGGCCUCCAAUCGGUGAUCAAUGAAAGUAAAAAUCAUUUCUUGGAUUGUUAAGGGGUUAAAUGGGGAGGAUAAGAGAAGGCUGGUGAAGCAAUUAGUUCACCAGCGGGGAGCAAAUAUAUAUGUUCGUAUAGAAACUAAAUUAGAAGGAAAUGUUAAAAUCUAUUAAGAGUUAUGGGAUAAUAGGUGGGUGAGGGGAGAACAAUAUGAGGCUAGGGGCAACAAAGUAGGGAUUCUGAUUAUGCGGGAUAAAAGAGAAUUGGAGGAAGAGCUGGUUGAGGUAGCUGGUCAACUGAUCACAUGCAAAUUCUUGGGUCUUAACUAGGACUUAACCUGGUUCUCGAGUGCUGUAUGUGCAGAUUUUAACAUGGUGACUAGAAGAGAAUUGUAGAGUGAGUUAGCAGGUGGUAGAAACAUUGAAACAUCUAUGAGGGACCAUAGGUGGUGUAUGGUAACUUAAAUGUUACAAGAUUUGUCAUAGAAAAAACAAAUUAUCAUAGAAUCUCAAGAGCAAUGGCCGAAUUCUCUGAGAGCAUUAAUAAUCUUGAGUUGGUAGAUCCUCCUUUAUUUAGGUGAUCCUUUAAUUAGAGGAGAGGAGAGAAUCUUAACAGUACAUCUAAGAUAGAUAGGUUUCUCUGUUCAGUUGAUUGGGAGGACAUUUUUCUAUAGGUCAAGUAGACAUCACUUUCGUGAAUGGGGUGUAAUCACAACCCUAUUCUUAACAUAUGUGGGGAUUGAAAAUUCAUUGGAGGUGUGAGAAUAAGCCAUCAUUAAACCAGAAGUAGUUAAAAGUGCCAUCCAAAGCUACUAUCAGGAUCUUUACAAAGAAAUAAAAGAGUGGAGACCUGAUUUUAUACUCCAAGGAGCAGCAGUUGUCUCAAAUAUUCAAAGGAGCAAUAGUUGUCUCAAAUGUUCAAAGGAGCAACAGUUGUCUCAAAAGAUAAACAAGGUUGGUUGCAAAGAAACUUUUAGGAGGAAUAGGUAUCAAAAAGCAUUAGAUCUUGUGUAAUUAACAAGGGUCCAGAUGGAUUCACAAUAAACUUUUUCCAGAAUUUUUAGGAGUUCGUUAAGGAAGAUAUCAUGGGGAUGAUGUAAUACUUUCAUGAUCACCAAGUGUUUGAAAAGAUCUUGGAUGCCAAUUACGUAGCUCUUAUCCCUGAAAAUAAAGGAGUAGUUGAGUUCGGACCUCCAGUUUUAGUUUGAAGUGACAUUAUACAUAACAGGUGAAUUGGCAUACAAGGAUGGCGUUAAGCAAGUAAAUUGUUGUCUUCCAAUCUCUCUUUUGUACUAACAGGGAAAAAGAAAGUGUUUGUAUCAAAUGAUAGAAAGUUCUUCUACCAGUAAACCUCGUCGGACCGGUAGACUCCAACGUCGGUGAUGGAAACAGGUAAGUUGAACUCAUUCAUCGAGCUUUAGCAUCCUCAGUUCUCUCUAGUGUUUGCCCUCCCCCUCUCCCUCCCCCAUUGUUAUUGUAUAUUCAUGGGUUGAUUGUCAGAUCGAAUAUGGCAACGGACCAAUGGUGCAGCAGCAGUCAAAUUGGUAGGACGACGUCAGCAGACAGCCAGAUCCCAGCAAACCUCCGGCGAAGCACCAGCGGCCUUUUUUCUCGAAGACUUUUUUCGACAACUAAUUUUUUGACACCAAACAUACCGGUGACAUCUAUUACUUUAUAAGUUAGGCACUCCAGUUAGCUUGGUAACUUUGAUAUAUUGUGUUUCUUGUCUUACUUCUUGCUUAUUUACUUCUUGUUUGUUUUUUGUCUCUUGUUUUUGGUCUGUCUCUUGCGUAUUUUCCUGUUUAUUGUUGCUGAUUUACUUAUGUACACAUUUUCUAUACUUUCUAGUAUUGUUGUGUUUGAAUUUCUGUAGUAGUUUGUGCUUUGUGUGUACCUUUAUUAUUAUUGAUGUUUUUAGCCAUGGUUGUGCUUUAUUUGAGCAGUAGCUUAGGAGGCUCAUGGUGGAAAAGAGUCAUAUCCUGGGGUCUUGGGGGUCGGGGAAUAGGGGUAGGUUAGGUACGAUAAUCAAAGUGCAAGGUAUUAAGGGAGGUAAUAAGAGAGUUGAUAGUUUGAGGGUGAGGUCGUGGAACAUUAGGACCCUGCAGGGUAAGUCAAUAGAAUUGGUUAAGAUUCUUAGGAAGAGAAAAAUUAGUAUUGUGUGUGUCCAGGAGAUCAAGUGGGUAGGUUCCAAAGUGAGGGAUGUAGAUGGGUACAAGUUGUGGUAUUCAGGUAGUGAAAGGCGUAGGUAUCUUAGUGGACGAGGAUCUUAGGGAGCAAGUAGUGAAGGUUAAAAGGGUUAGUGAUAGGGUUAUGAGUAUCUAGUUGGUCUUGGGGGGGUCUACUUUGAACUUUUGUAGUGCGUAUGCACCACAGGUGGGCCUGGAUGAGGAGGAGAAGAAGAGAUUUUGGGAGGUUUUGGACGAGGUAGUUAGACGUGUGCCUAGUUCAGAGAAGCUUUUCAUAGGAGGGGAUUUCAACGGGCACAUUGGAUCUUUACAGUUAGGGUACUAUAAUGUGCAUGGGGGCUUUAGGUUCGGGUUAGGAAUGAUGAGGGAGCUGCGCUUUUGGAUUUCGCAAGGGCCUUUGGGUUGGUGGUACUGAAUUCCAGCUUUUCGAAAAAGGAGGAGCACUUGGUUACUUUCUGUAGUAGGAUAGCCAAGAAUCAGAUUGACUUUUUGUUGCUUAGGAAGGGGGAUAGAGCAUUGUGUAAGGAUUAUAAGGUAAUUUUGAUGAGAAUCUUGAGAGUCAACAUAGAUUCCUGGUCAUGGACUUAGUUAUCAAGAAGGGUAAGGUGCGUCAGGGGAGAAAGAGUAGACCUAGUGUUAGGUGGGGUAGUCUGACUCCAGUUAGUACUUUGGAGAUAGGGGAAAAGUUGGAGAGGAUGGAGGUAUGGGAGUACAGAGGGGAUGUGGAUAGCAUAUGGGAUUGGGCCAUUAGUUGCAUUAGGGAUUCGGUUAGAGAGGUGUUAGGUAUUUCGAGGGGUUGGUCUGGCUGGUAUCGGGGGAAUUGGUGGUGUAAUGAAAAAGUUAAAAAAAAAGGUGGAGACGAAGAAAGCGACUUACACUAAGUUGGUAGAGUGUAAGGAUAAAGAAGAGAAGUAGGUGAGCAGGGAAGAGAAGAGUACAAGACAGCUAAAAAGGAGGCUAAGUUAUCUGUUACGGCUGCUAAGACAACAGCUUUUGAGAGUUUGUAUAAGGGGUUAGAGGAGAAAGGCAGGGAAAAGAGGUUGUUUAGGCUUCCCAAGGUUAGGGAGCAGAAGGGUCGUGAUCUGAAUUAGGUGAAAUGCAUUAAGGAGGAGGAUGGUAGAGUUUUGGUUGAUGACGUCCUCAUUAAGGGAAGAUGGCAGUCAUAUUUUCAAAGGUUCUUGAAUGAUGCGAGGGGACGGAGGUGUUGUGUUAGAAGAUUUAGAGCAUUCCCGGGAGUGUUGCGAUUUUGGAUUUUGUCAUUAAUUUAGGAUAAAGGAGGUCAGUAAGGCUAUUCACAAAAAUCGAAGGGGCAGGGCGACGGGGCCCGACGAGAUUCCGGUGGAUUUUUGGAAGUUCUCUGGCAGUUUAGGGUUGAGGUGGCUGACCAAUUUGUUUAAUAAUAUUUUCAAGUUGGCAAAGAUGCAUUAGGCGUGGAGAUGAGUACGAUGAUUCCUCUAUAUAAGAACAAAGGUGACAUUCAGUGUUCCAACAACUACCAGGGUAUUAAGUUCACACGAUAAAGAUUUGGGAGAGGGUGGUGGAGCGGAGGUUGAGGAAGUUAGUGUCUAUUUUGAAGAACCAAUUUGGUUUUAUGCCUGGUCACUCCACGACUGAGGUAAUUCACCUUAUGUGGAGACUGGUAAAGAGCAGUAUAAAGAGAGGAAGAGGGAUCUUCACAUGGUGUUUAUAGACCUGGAAAAGGCGUAUGACAAGGUCCCUAGGGAGGCUUGUUGGAGAUGCCUGAAAGCGAGAGGGGUUCUGGUGGCAUAUAUUAGAGUGAUUAAGAACAUGUAUGAGGGGGUGAAGACUCAGGUAAGGACAGUGGGAGGAGAUUCUGAGCAUUUCCCAGUCUUGAAAGGGUUUCACCAAGGAUCAACUCCUAGUCCAUUGUUAUUCCUUUUGGUGAUGGAUGUGCUGACACGUAAUAUACAAGGCAGGGUGCCGUGGUGUAUGCUUUUCAUGGAUGAUAUAGUUUUGAUUGAUGAAUCGCGACAAGGGGUUAAUCAUAAGCUGGAGAUUUAGAGAGAAACCCUGAAGUCUAAAGGUUUUCAGUUGAGUAGGACCACGACGGAGUACUUGGAGUGUAAGUUUAAUGACUCGAGACUUGAGGAGGAGGUGGUAGUAAAGUUGGAUUCUCAGGCGGUUUGCAAGAGGGAUAGUUUUAAGUAUCUCGGGUCUACGAUACUGGGGAAUGGAUAGAUAGAUAUGGAUGUCUCUCAUCGUAUUAGGGCAGGUUGGUCGAAAUAGAGGCUCACUUCGGAAAUUUUAUGCGAUAAGAUGGUGCCCUCCAGGCUUAAAGGCAAAUUCUAUAGAGUUGCAGUCCAUCCUGCUAUGUUGUAUAGAGCGAAGUGCUGGCCGUUUAAGAAUUCUCAUGUCCAAGAGUUGAAGGUGGCGAAAAUGAUAAUAUUGCGUUAGAUGUGUGGAUUCACAAAGACAGACAAGGUUAGGAGUGAAAUUAUUUGGGAGAAAGUGGGAAUGGUAUUAGUUGAGUAUAAAAUACAGGAAGUGAGGUUGUGAUAGUUUGGUCAUGUAAUGAGGAGGGGCACGAAUACCCCAGUUCGUAGGUAUGAGAGGUUAUCCUUAGAAGGUUUCAAGCGGGGUAGGGGUAGACCAAAGAAAUACUGGAGAGAAGUGAUUAGAAUGACAUGGAGCAGUUACAGCUGACUGAGGACAUGACUCUGGAUAGGAAGAUAUGGAGGAACAAUAUUAGGAUAGAGGGCUAAGGGUGUGGUUGAGUUGUAGUCAGUAGGUAGGGGCACGGAUACCCCAGUUCGUAGGUAUGAGAGGUUAUCCUUAGAAGGUUUCAAGUGGGGUAGGGGUAGACUAAAAAAUUACUAGAGGGAAAUGAUUAGACGUGACAUGGAGCAGUUACAGCUGAUUGAGGACAUAACCCUAGAUAGGAAGAUAUGAAGGAAAAACAUUAGGAUAGAGGGCUAAGUGUGUGGUUGAGUUGUAGUCCGUAGGUAGGGGAUUUGUGGUGUCCUUUGUUUGGCAAGGUAUUUUUUGUGGAUGUCGUAUCUAUGCUAUUUUAUCAUGUUCUAUGCUUUUGAUCUUGCCAAGUUGAUGGCUAAAUUUGAAUAAGCAAAUGUGGAUAUUGCAGAGCUAAAGAGUAGGUAGUCACAACACCCUAUUUUCGACCCAAUAUUGGUGAAAAGUGAUGUUGAUGAGGGUAUUAUGGACUUAAUAGGAAACCAGUAAAAGACAACGGAAAGGAGAAAAUGGAUAAAAAAGUUGCAAGGAAAGAAGCAAAGAGGAGAAAGAAAAAAUAAAUGACACUAGAACAACAAGAACGACAUGAUAUUAAGAGAGCUCAAAAGAAGCUACUAAAAGAUGAAGAAAAGAGGAGAAACAAACAAGAAGACGAAGCAGCAGGGGUAUCCACUAGUACUGCCCUAGUAAGGGGGCACAGUGUAGGAUCAGUUCGAGAGACGAUCCCUCCAAUCUUGGAAGGUGAGGUUGUGAGUGCCCCUCCCACCAUAGGGGCUAAUAUUUCACCAGGUGAGGAGGCAAGAGACUCGCCACACUUCACAGAUGCCUCAGAUGAAUAAGAGGCAAAACAAGUAAAACCAUUUCCUUGUACUUUAAAUUUAUGCUUUGAGGAUAAUGCAUCUACUUUUCUGUGGGGGGGUGUACUUGUACCUUGGUGGGUUAUGUUACCGAUCUCUUUUCCCUCCAUGUGCUAUCUAGUAGAAUCAGCAUGUCUAGGGUGUUUUAUUUUUGCAUCUCUAAUUUCCUAAGCUUGUGAUGUAAAUAUAUGUGUGUUCUGUUUUAGUAUCCCUUUGUAGAUAUGAAUAAUGAAUGAUAUUGGCAUAAACUAUGAGUAUGAACGUGUAAUUAUUUACUCUAAUCAUGUCGUAUAUGUCCAUAACCUUCAGUGAGUCUGUAUUUGGAAUUAACAUAUAAGAGGUGCAUGAAUCAUGUGAUGGAAAUCCUAAGAGUAGCAUAAGAAGUUUAACUCAGUUGCCUCUAUGUGUGUGAGAAUUUGUCUUGAGUUCUUGCAUAGUGUAGUGCCUAGAACUUGCCCAAGUCAUUGAUACUAUUCUCUAACUAAUUCAAUAAGAUAGGAUAGCAGGCCUCCUUGUAUUUUUAGUCCACUUAGCCUAAAUAAUUAACCUCUCAAAGAUUUUUCUCUCACUCGAACCUAUUUUGAGAUUUUGAGUAUUUUUCUUUAUUUAUUAUAACUAUAAUUAACUCUCCGUAGGGCAAUAACAUUCAACUCUGGCCCUGGCUAAAUAUUGGGCAUUGUGCACCUCAACUUAGGCAAAACACCUAAGUUGAGGGUGGCUAUUGUCAAAAUGUAAGCAACCAGUUAAAAGUUGGUUUAGAAUAUAGUUUAAAGGCAUUUGGCCCUGAUCUGUCCAAAGAUAUUGUGCACCUUAGCUUACUGCAUCAACAUAAGUUGAGGGUGGCUGAUGCUUAAUAAAAAAAAGAAAUGUUUUUUGUAAGUAGAAUUGAUUAAGGGAGAUUGUAAGCAAGUUAAUUAAAAUAGCAGCUUGGGGAUGAAAAGUUGCUAGGGCAAGGAGAGUUAAGCCCUAAUGAGUCACUUUACCCAAAAGAGUACCCUCACCUAGCCUGAAGACUCAUUACAAGCCUAGAAAAGAUCUGUUUGAUCCUAGUAAAUCAGCUUUGAGGGUGUGUUAAAUGGAAAGGGAAAACCUAUGGGUACCUGGACUAUGCUUGUAACUUCUUUGAUAAGCGUGAGAGUUUAGAUUGUAUCCACGUAGUAUAAAAAGUGGUGGACUUUAUUGUUGUGAAGGCAAUUGAAGUUUUGCUUAAUUCUGUUGUUCGCUGUGGGAUAUGACAUCUAUGUUUGUUUGUGUAGAAUUAUAAUCAAUAUUGGGUGUAGACCCUGCUGGUUGAAAUUCAUGUGAGCGAAAUGACAAGUGAAUGGUUGUGUCAAAGUGAUUCAUUAGUUGGUUGCUUAUCAUGGUAUGGUUCAUGUUUAUAAUUGGAUGCUGAUUUGCUUGAGGACAAGCAACGAUCUUAAGUUGAGGGUGUUGAUGUUCCGGCUUUCGACGCAAUAUUUUGCAUCUUUUUCUUGAGAAAGUUGUAUGUUUUCAAGCAACUAAGGUUGCAUUUAAUGCUGGUUUUUAAUGUUUCAGGGUAAGGAUAGCUGAAGAAAAAGUCUCAAGAAAGUGGCAUAAAAACACUUCUGACGGUCAAAAUAGUAGACCGCCAGUGUUGCGACGAACCACCAAGUUAAUCGUCAGAUCUAACCAGAACUCAACUUUUCAGAAGACCCUGCGAUGGCAGAAAUGGUGGACCAUCAGUUUUGCAAUGGAUCACCAACUUAACUGUCGGGCCUAAACAGAACCCAAGACUUCAGUUCUUGCAAUGAUGGACCAAAUAAUGGACUGUCAGUCUUACGAUGGAUCACCAAGUUGGCCAUCAAGUUCAUCCAGAACCUAGAUCCUUGAAUUACUCAGCGACAGACCAAAUGGUGGACCGUCAGUCUUAUGAUGGACCACCAAGUUGGCCGUCAGACUUAUCCAGAAAGUCACCUUCCCAGAUCAGUAGCGACAGGCCAAAUGGUGGGCCGUCAACCUUGCGACGAACCACCAAUUUGGCCAUCACUUUGGACGCGAAUUUUAUGACUUCCAAUUUUAAAUCCUUUUAGCUGGGAAUAUAUAAAUACCAAGUAUUAGGGUUUAGGAGGGAUCUUUUUUUCUUUAGUUUCAUACUUUUCUCCUCUAUUGAGAGCUUUGUAUUACUUUUCAUUGGGAUUUUGAAUCUAGAGAUUGAGACUUGAUUAUUAGUUUUGAUAUUAUCCAUCAAAGAUUGAGAAGAACAAUAUUGUGACUUUUGUAAGUACUCUUCUAAAGUUAUUUAUGAACAUCAAUAUAACUUUGAUUUCUGAUAUAGAGAUGAGUAGCUAAACUCCCAUAACUAGGGUUAUGGGAGCCUUAAUGUAGAGAACUAUUUUAGGGUUGUGAAUGGGUUGGUUUUCUAACAUCUAACAAAUUGCAUGAAUCUUUCUUCAUUUUAAUGACAUCUCUUGGUUGCAAAUUUGAGAAGUGAGGCCAUGAACUCCACUUGUCUGACAAGAAAGUGGAUGUUGGGAAAAGAAGUGAUUCACAUGAACUUCAUAGGUUUACCCUUUGGGUUAACGGGUUGAUGCCUUAACAGGAUCAACCCUCAUGAGAGUGUUAUUGAAUAAUGCAUGAAUCCUUUGAGUUCUAGAGGAGUAAAGGAUGAAAUACUCAUUAGGUUGAGAAACACGUGGGUAAUCUUUAGAAUUCAAUAAUUCUUGCAAUUGGAUACAUAAGUUAGAAUUCGAACACAAAUUCACAACCUUACUUGUUUGAACAUCUUGGUGAGUAUAACUCUAGUUAAUUUAUUCUCGUUUGACUAUCUUGGUGAGCAUAACUCUAGUUAAUUUAUUCUCAUUGGAAUUACAUCUGCAUUUACUCUCAGUAGUUGGGCUUUUGUGUAACACCAAUACAAAAGAACACAAUUAAUAUUUCCAAACCCCCUUUAUUUUGGAGCCUUAGAUCAACAGUCUAAUAACAGUCACAAUACUUAGGGAACACGAUAUUCCCUUUGGGAUUUGACACCCAACCCAGUUGGGUUCUAUAUUUGAUAGCGACCGCUUACUCUCUCGUAGGAGAGUUGUAAUUUGGGCAUAUCACCAAUCAAGGAAAAUACAUGCUUCAUUUUUCUACUUAGAUAAUUACUAGCACUUUAAAUUACUAGCCUUUUUUCCAUAAGUUUUCAACUGGAAAAUAUGGAUAAGACAUUGCUUGUUUUAUUAACAUUAUGAUAUUUGAAUCACAGUACAUAUCCAGAUAUUAAGAUGUUGUACUAGGAUAUGAAUACUAAAUAAUUAAGAUCAUUUGUUUUUUCAACAUCUGAAUGUACAAAGUUUAUCAUUAUUAAAAAUUCAUAAAUAUAAAUUAAAAAGAAAGCACUAAUUCUUGUAAUAAUACAACAGUAAUAACAACAACUUACCUAGUGUAUUCUCACAAAAGUGCAAUCUGGGAAGGGUAAAGUGUACGUCCAUACCACUACCUUAGAUGAAGUAGAGAGGUUAUUUCUGAUUGACCCUCAGCCUAGGACAAAUUCAUCUAAUACUAUAUUAAUAAAAUAUUAGAAAAAUAAAUUUUUAUAUUGGUCAGUGUAUGGUUCAUAGUGGUGGUUGUAGGUACUAAAUAGUGGUUGGAUAGUUAGUUGUAGUAGUAGUUGAAGGUAGUAGCUAAUGGUGAUGAUGGUUGAUAGUAGUGGUUAAUGUUGGUUAUUGAUAGUGGUAAUUGGUAGCGACACUGAUAAUAGUUGUGGAUGAUGGUGGCAAUGAUGGAUAUCGGUGGUUGGUUGUGCUGAUAGUUGUAAAUGGUGGCUAGUGGCAGAGACGACAGGUUGUGGUGACUGGCGAUAGUGAUAAUUGUGGUUGAGAUGGUGGUUGUGCCCGAUGGAUGGUGUAUUAAUCAUAAAUGGUAGCUAGUGGCAGUGACGCCUGACUUUGAUAAUUGAGGGUGGUGAUUGUGGUUGUGGUUGAGAUGGUGGUAGUUGAUAGUGAGGGGCGGCAACGACAAUGGGUAAUGAUAAAAGUAGAUCAAGUAGUGAUGAAAUACAUUCUUUGCAUAAAUUCUUGAAUCACUAGUACGCUAGUAAUGUUAACCUUCUUUCAAACUUACCUUUUUCAAACAAAUAAUUAUUUGUUUUGUAUGUGAAAUUUAUUUAGAUCUACUCAAACUCAUUAAGUGGUUGUAAAAGAAAAACACACUUAAUGAUUGAUCUCUGAAUGAUUAAGAUUUAAACCUGAAAACACACUUGGCCCAAGUAAAAGAAACAUAGUAUUAUUUUUUUCGUCAAUAUAAUGGUUUUUCCCCUGAUGAAAAAUCCUUGAACUUGUUAUGUGUUAUUUUGGCUAGAGUUGAGUAUCUUGUCGCAGUAUUUUAGCCCAUUGAACAUCAUUGUAUUAAGCGAAUAUGUCAAGUUGGUCCCCAAAAAAUUAGUAUCAGUUGAAAGAAAUUGGUAGGAACUAACAUAAGAAACUAAAUAUAGUUCUUUAUCAAAAAGAAACUGAAUGUAGUUAACAUCAUCAAAAAAGAAACUAAAUAUAGUUAAAUUUAAAGUUGCAUAGCCAUUUCCUUUAUUGUUUAUCUUGAUAUGAAUUUGAGAUUGCCAUAUUAUUGGGAAGUAUAUGAAACUGUGAUAGUGUAAUAUUAAAAAAAUUGUCUAGAAAAUGUAACACCCCGUAUUCAAGUACAUAUAUUGGCGUAUUCAAGUACGUGUAUUGGUCUUAUUUAUAUGGAAUUAAUUUUUUUAUUUUAUUUAUACCGAAAUUUGCCCGUCGAUGGUUCCAUGCGAAGGUUAUUGAAUAAGCUUUCCAACGAUAUAAAGAUUUUCAAAAAUGGAUAGGUUUCGGAUAUAAUCGAGCACGUUCGAAACUAUAAAACGGUGGCCGGGAUACUGAGAAUAGUAAAUGUGCAGGAAAAUUUCCUGUACACAAACUACUGAGGCUAGCUAAUUUUUUGGGUCAACUUUGAACGAUCAUAACUCCCUUAAUAUAAUGAACUGGGAGAGCUGUGACCUAUGAAAAGAAAUAUCUUUGAGUCUUAUUUCCAAUGCAAUUGGUUUCAUCCAAAUCCAACGUCUGAGUAAGGAGUUAUACUCGUUUUACUUCAACCUCUCAAAACAGAUUUUUAGGAUCAACUUUAAACGGUCAUAACUCCUUGUACAGAAUGAACUGGGUAGCCUACUUUAUAUGAAAUGAAAGCCCUUUGAAUUAUCUUUCCAACGAUAUCAAUUUCACCCAAAUCUGAUAUCGGAGCAAAGAGUUAUGGUCGAUCUACUUUAGCUUAUCAAAACAGUCCACCAAAGGACAGAUUUGACAUUAUUUAAAUUUUAAAGGCACUUUGGUCAUUCCCUAUGAUAUUAUGGACGGGAAUAUGUGUACAUAUACAUGUAUAUGAGUUCAAAAACUCAUUUUCAUCAUCAAUAAUUGAGAAAGAACAAACCCUAUCCAAAUUUGACCUUUAAAUUACUUUUGAUUCAACCGUAGAAAUUACAAAGAAAUCCGAUAACUGCGUUUGUCAUCUCGAGAGCUUCGAACGACACCUAUUAUUUGUGCAAACAGGAUUGCAUAAUCAAGAGGUGAAUUCUAAGGUAUGAAUAUUGUUUGCCUUUGUUCUUUUCCAUANNNNNNNNNNNNNNNNNNNNNNNNNNNNNNNNNNNNNNNNNNNNNNNNNNNNNNNNNNNNNNNNNNNNNNNNNNNNNNNNNNNNNNNNNNNNNNNNNNNNNNNNNNNNNNNNNNNNNNNNNNNNNNNNNNNNNNNNNNNNNNNNNNNNNNNNNNNNNNNNNNNNNNNNNNNNNNNNNNNNNNNNNNNNNNNNNNNNNNNNNNNNNNNNNNNNNNNNNNNNNNNNNNNNNNNNNNNNNNNNNNNNNNNNNNNNNNNNNNNNNNNNNNNNNNNNNNNNNNNNNNNNNNNNNNNNNNNNNNNNNNNNNNNNNNNNNNNNNNNNNNNNNNNNNNNNNNNNNNNNNNNNNNNNNNNNNNNNNNNNNNNNNNNNNNNNNNNNNNNNNNNNNNNNNNNNNNNNNNNNNNNNNNNNNNNNNNNNNNNNNNNNNNNNNNNNNNNNNNNNNNNNNNNNNNNNNNNNNNNNNNNNNNNNNNNNNNNNNNNNNNNNNNNNNNNNNNNNNNNNNNNNNNNNNNNNNNNNNNNNNNNNNNNNNNNNNNNNNNNNNNNNNNNNNNNNNNNNNNNNNNNNNNNNNNNNNNNNNNNNNNNNNNNNNNNNNNNNNNNNNNNNNNNNNNNNNNNNNNNNNNNNNNNNNNNNNNNNNNNNNNNNNNNNNNNNNNNNNNNNNNNNNNNNNNNNNNNNNNNNNNNNNNNNNNNNNNNNNNNNNNNNNNNNNNNNNNNNNNNNNNNNNNNNNNNNNNNNNNNNNNNNNNNNNNNNNNNNNNNNNNNNNNNNNNNNNNNNNNNNNNNNNNNNNNNNNNNNNNNNNNNNNNNNNNNNNNNNNNNNNNNNNNNNNNNNNNNNNNNNNNNNNNNNNNNNNNNNNNNNNNNNNNNNNNNNNNNNNNNNNNNNNNNNNNNNNNNNNNNNNNNNNNNNNNNNNNNNNNNNNNNNNNNNNNNNNNNNNNNNNNNNNNNNNNNNNNNNNNNNNNNNNNNNNNNNNNNNNNNNNNNNNNNNNNNNNNNNNNNNNNNNNNNNNNNNNNNNNNNNNNNNNNNNNNNNNNNNNNNNNNNNNNNNNNNNNNNNNNNNNNNNNNNNNNNNNNNNNNNNNNNNNNNNNNNNNNNNNNNNNNNNNNNNNNNNNNNNNNNNNNNNNNNNNNNNNNNNNNNNNNNNNNNNNNNNNNNNNNNNNNNNNNNNNNNNNNNNNNNNNNNNNNNNNNNNNNNNNNNNNNNNNNNNNNNNNNNNNNNNNNNNNNNNNNNNNUCACAAGUUCUAGUAAGUGUGGUCCACUCCUAUUACGAUUUAUUCACUUGUUUCUGAUUUCUAUUGAGUUCCUAUAUCAUAUGUGAUUAUCUACAACUUUACAUACUCAGUACAUAUUUAGUACUGACGUCUUCCCACGGGGGACCUGCAUUUCAUGCUGCAGGCACAGGUACCUCAGCUCAUACACCGCACAAGUAGGAGCCAGGAUAUCCUGUUGCUUUUGGUGAGCUCCAGUUUGCUUCGGGGCUUUCCGUGUCAUAUCCAGUCACUUUUGAUAUUGUAUAAAAGUUCGUUAUAUGGCGGGGUGUGUCCCGACCUUAGUUAAACUCUAUGUAUUGUCUAGAGGCUUUGUAGACCUAAUGUACAGUCAAGGUGGUGUUUUGUUAAUAGAUGUGAUGGAUCCAACGGUCAAGUAUUGUAUAUACAUAUAUAUGUGUGCUCGAGCUUAUACAGGUCAUUAUUUCCUUUUAUAUGCGACAUGAUGCUGUCCGAAUUUUGGGUUGUCAUAGAGGUAUGCAUGAGAAGUAUGAGGUUAUGAGCUGGUUCUCCCGGGCCUCCUCGGUUACGGGUGCCAGUCCGCCCCAAUAGGAUUUGAGGCGUGACAAAAAACUAGGAUCUUGUGUCAAAUUUUUUUGUUCAAAGGAUUUUUGCAGUUCUUUUAUUUUGGAUAAAGUAACAAACUAUAUUUAAAUCUUAUACACAUACCAUUGGAAACCAAAAGGAAUUGAUUACAUCAUAGAUCAAAACCAAAAGUAUAAAUGAAGGAUUUUUAUUGUGUCAAUUAUUUUACUGAAAGAGGUGCUUCUAAAAAAUAUGAUAUUUAUGGAGUAACGCUAUUGUGUCUUGAUAGCAACCGUAGUCUUGUUUCUAAUGAUUAAUUUUUUUUCAUGGUUAUAACCAAUUUGAAAAAACAUGAAUCCAACAAAAAGAUGACUUGCAUGAAAAGAUAUGAUGAGGGUCGUAGAGUUGAUGAAGGAUUUUGUAUAACCAGUGAACAUCUACACGUCUUAAGACAACAAGGGCUAACUUGUUAGCUCUAUCCCAGUUUGGACAUGGGUAAUUUCUCAUCUUUCACUUCCUUUUCCACGUGUCAUUGGACAAUAUUUGUUGGCCUAGCUUUUCAUUUUGAAUGUUCUGCCAAUGUAACAUAUUUUUCUUUAAAUAAGCUAAAGAUUAGUGUGGUGUACUUGUUCAUGUACUUUUUACAAUGGACUCCGCCCAAAAUCAUCGCCAUUUUGAUAAUUAAGUUGAAAGCUACUUAGAGUAUAAUGACGUUUAGGGUAGAAGAAAAGCCUGAAAAGUCAUAAAGGUUUGUAAUAUGCCAUAAGUAAGGGACCAUUUUACAGCUCAGUGCUGAGACGUCUCAUGAAUUUUAUUCCUAAAUAGAGCCCCUAGGAUAAGAAGUUUUUCCUAUCCAAUCUUACAUAGUAUGGGAAGUUAUUAUACUUUAAUCUCAUUUCUUAUUUCUUCGUCUUAGAGAUUACUUGAGUGUUGUCAAUUAAUCUGUCUUUUGGUAGUUUGAAAAGUAUUUUGGUGAAGAGGGUCAAGUGUUUCUGUUGUUAUUAUAGAAGUGAGAAACUGUUAACUAAAGCGAAUUUCCUUGUCAAUUGUUCGCCUUAAAAUAUUUCUUCCCUAAUCCCAUUCACUAGUAAAAAACAAAAGAGGAAUAGUUACAAUGAGCUUAGAAUCAUAAUUUUAUUGCUAAGAAUUUGUUUGCUUUCUUUAUCAUACCUGCUACCUAUUAGAAUGAAGUUAACAUCAGUGGAAAAAAUAUUAUACUCUACUUGGAUCAUAGUCUAUGGCCAUAUCUACUAUGCCAUACAUUUCUUGAAAGACCAUCCUAGUAGUGUUGACAAUAUCCUCAUCAAUGCUGGUAAUGAUUGUACUAAGAAAUUUAAUGCACUUCAUUUUGAUAAGGCUAAGAAGCUCUUGGAGUACUUUAGGAUUGGUGAACUCAUAACUACCAGUUACACCUCCGAUUUCUCUCUAAACAGUUCCAUCUAUGGAGUUUCUUCUAUCAGUAGCUUUUUAGCACCUUCAAACACCAAUAAUGAGUGUGGCCCUUAUCCUAUGGGAGAAAAUCCCUUAUAAACAUAGACAUAGCUUUAUCGAUUAUAUUUUGGUUGUUAAUGUGACAUGUCUUUGGCAGCUUCACAUUCCCAUUUUUUCAAGUUAUGAAAUACAUAGAGGAUUUCUGCCGGACUUUGCCAGAUGAUAGUCAAGACCUGACACUUAGCCAAGAGCAGAAUAAGAGAAUAUGGUUAGAUGUGAUUGGUGGUUUGAGUAGGUAUGGGUAUGCUUAUGGCUUGCCACAACAAAUUUUUCGUGAAUUUUAUUCAGAACUAAAAUGUCUCAGUAACUCUCAGGAUGAUGAGUCAAGGGAGAUGAUUUUGACUUUAAAGCAACAGAUAACUAAGCUAUCUAAUGAAGCUAAGGCCUCACAUGUAAAGAAAAGGCAAAAUGAUAUACAAUAUUGCGGGAAUGAAAGACCAAUCGAUACAUUACUUGCUUCGGGGGAUUCCCCCUUGUCGUGGUGAUAUAGUUCACCCUUCUUGAUUGCCCCAGUCUCUACCUAUUUUACGUGGAGUAUAUGGUCAAUAUAGAGGUGUGACUGAGAAGCCCAACAUUGAUAAAGAUGAUGAGGAUUAUUAUGUGGAUAAUGCACCACCGCAUUGUUAAAGUCGAGUGUUGUAUUAGAUAAUUUAAAUUAUGUACUUUAUGAUGGUUUAUUUGAAUUAUUAAGUGUAGAACUUUGAAGUAGUCUAAUCAAUAGUACUAUUGUAUAAAUACUUGACAAAUAUAUUUUUUUGUUCAAUUUCAAGGUACUUUAAGUUGAUUUUCAUUUAGUGUUCAUUGGAUGAGAUAUUUAGUACUCAUGUUUGUUGUUUGAUUGAUUGGUGUGAGCUCUUGGAGUUCGAUUUAGUUGAUUAGAUUGUAUAUAAUAUUGAAUUGAAUUAAAAUGAUAGGCAUUUGUAAAAGAUGUUAUUGUCAAUUUUUUUUUUUUGCAAAAAAAAGACUUUAUGAGGUCGCUAUUUUGCAUUUUCAUUUUCUAGCAAAUGAAUUGAAGCGACCACAAGGUCUCUUUUUUGCAAUUUCAUUUUCUAGGCACUCAAACAAGAAACGGUAAGAGGUUGCUUAUGUUUUAAAUAAACUGUUUAUUAUAAAAAUAAAUAAAUAAUAGUCACCUGAUGAGGCGUCUUUUAAUUAAAAAAUAAAAUCAAAUAAAGACCUUAGGAUGUCUCUUUUAAUAAAAUAAUUAUAAUUAUAGAAAAUAGUUUAGAGACCUCAAAGGUCUCUUUCUGGAAAAUAACCUAGUGACCUUGUGAGGUUGCUUUUAAGCGACCUCAUAAGGUCUCUUAUAAAAAGCGACCUAUGUUUUAGAGACCAUCCAUUAAGAUCUCUUUUGAAGUUUCUUUUUCAAGAUUUAGGUCUCCUUUUGCAACUUUUUUAGUAUUAGAUAAAUCAACCUAACACACCAACACAACACCCCCACAAAAGAAAAACAUCAACAUUUACCAACAACACUAAAAUUAUACAAACAAAUAAUAAAAAACUUCAAAAAACACAACAAAACACCAACAAAUCAAAUCAACUGUUGUUUGUUAGAUUUUGAUCACAAUAGAUGUCUCCGAAAAAAAUUUAAAAUUCAACUUCCACUACUUUUACAACAAUAUUUGAUAACAAGAAUUACAGUAACAAAAAAAAUCAUGUUUCACUUUGGAAAUAGAAGAGAAGAAAUAUCACAAAUUAGAAUUUUCUUGAGUCUUCAUUUCAAAUUUAAAUAACAAAUAUUAAAAUUGUUAAUUCAUACUAGAAGAGAAGUUAAAUUUAAGUUUUUCUUUUUCUUCAUAAUUAAAAUACCUUAAUUUUUUACCUGUAAAAGUCGAAAAUAAAUGAUAAAGAACUUGAAGUUGUUAUUGCUGAAGAAUGCUGUCACGCUGAUUAAUGAUUGAAAAUUAAAAAGAAACUUUAAACUAUUUAUUGCAAGAGAGGAAAGAGACAAUUGAUUUGAAAAGAAGAGUAGGAUUUGAGAGAAGUGAAUUUAUUUGUAUUUUCUAAAAUAUUAAAAUGUUUUAAAAAUAUUAAUUAAAUGCACAAUUCACUUAAUCAAAUUUCUUUAUUAUGUUGAAAUACCACAAUACAAAGACGUUUCUCUGGUGCUGCUCACUUCGGUAGUUCAUGUUCAAUAAAAUCCGGAAUUUCAAAACUUUUCGAACCAUUGUUUCAAAUGGACACUCUGUCAUCGCACUUGACGGCGCCGGGCCGAUCCCGGAGUUCACAAUCUCCAUCACCGUCACAUUCUGCGUCGGCCUCAGCAACUUCGUCAAUCCACAAGCGCAAGAUGGCAUCUGAUGACCACGCGCCGCCGUUCCCGUCCUCUUUCUCUGACACUCGCGAUGGUGCUCUCACCUCCAACGAUGACUUAGAGAGUAUCAGUGCCCGCGGUGGCGAUGCUGAUUCCGACUCCGAAGACGACUCCGAAGAGGUCGGCGAUGAUGACGAGGAAGAUUAUGAUGCUUCUUCCAUGCGUAAUUUCACUGCGUCGCGGUUGGAGAAUAGUGUGGCUAUGGUACCGUCAGGGAGGAACACUAAGCUUAAGAGGGAUAACUCGGUGAAAAUUGAGUCGUCGGAAGUAGUGAAAGAGGGUGGCACUGGUUGUUGCGGUAAUGUUGCGCCACCUACAGCUACUGUUCCUGUUUCAGGGGCGUUGGUGAAGGAUGAGAGUAUGAAGAACAUAUUUACUGACAAUUUGCAGACUAGUGGUGCCUAUACUGCAAGGGAAGAGAGCUUAAAGAGGGAGGUAAUAGUUUUCAGUUAUGACCGACUUCUUUUUUUUUUUUUUUUGUGCAACGGAGGUAAUAUUUGUUAUGAUGGAAAAUGUUUUCUGAAAAAUGUAUUAUUUAAGUAAAGCAAUUUUGUAACACGGUAAAAUGAUCCAGAAAAUAAUCCUCAACAGGGAAAAUUUUCCAUGGAAAAUUGAAGUAUAUGAGUAUCUUUAAGUAGCUUUUGUGUUCUAUCUGUUGAAUUGUGGAAUAAUGCGUGCCUUUUUAUUGAGCAGACAGAUAGAAUGCAAAGGAUGCAUUCUGUUUGAGAUAAUGUGAAUCACUCUUGAAGACUGUUUAUUUAUGAAUAAGAAACUAGAAACUAAAUUUAGGUUUCAAACCUUUUGGAAGUCUCCAAAGGGAUUUUUAUGUAUCCCUCUCUUUAGACGUUCAAAGAUUUAUGCAUCAAUUUCAGUUUCAAGAAUUUCUUUUCCCCUUCCUAUAACUUUCCGUAAUUUUAUUGACUUGCAUGAUUGAUGUCCUUGUCUAUUUGGUCCCACUAGGACUUUGAUGUUGCAAGUCAAGAUAGGUACUAGCUCACCUUCCACUUUCUACUUGAACUAACUUGAGAUGUGAACGGACGUGGUAUUCCUUGGUUUGCUGUAAAAUAGAGCAAAAUAACUUGUUAAAAAGGAAAAAUAGAAAAGAAAAGCGACGGAAGAAGGAGAAUAAAAUAAUUUUUGCAUGGAGUAGUGAGUAAUGUAAAUUCAAACAUUCUUUUAGCAAUGAGAAAACAAACUAUAAAGAAAAAGGCCAAGUGGGUUAUACCAAAUUGGACAAUGCACUGAUGUCCAAUUCUUGUGACUAGAAAAACAAAUUAUAAAAAAAGAAAGUUAAUUAGUGACUGCAUACUACAAAAUGUUGAUAUUCGACUAUCAGGAAGAUAGUGGUGUUGAGAAAGAAGCCACAAGAUUUAAAAAGAUGUCAAUUUCUAGCAUGGAAUAAAGUGAUUAGAUCCUUAUAACCAACUCUGGGUGAUGGACUUAAGCAAAUUGUGCUAUCCUGGUGAUAAGUGUUAAUGAAAUGGACUUUGGACCUUAACUCAAUCUAAAACUAACUUAUUAGGGGAGGAACACCCAAAACCAUAUAAGGAGACUAAACCCCAGAAGCUAGCUGCUCAAGAGGAGAGAAUUGCCCAAGACCAUAUAAGUAGACUGUUGAAUAGUUUGAGAACAAGAGCAUUCCUUUCCAGAGCCUAAAGAUGAAGUGCCUAGUGACAUUUUAUUUUUGGUAUGCUCAUGCUUUACCUAAGGAACAGGGGGAUAUCACCCUAAUUUUAGAUAGCUUUUGAAGAAAUAGAUGACAUAUAGAUUGUAGAUCUCUUCUUGUUUUCCCCACUGUACAACUGAUGAAGUACACUAUUGGUGUAUUUCUUGUUUAUAUACCAGUUAACUUUCUCAAAAAUAAAGUAAAAUAAAAUAAAAUAGAAGAGUCCCACAUUGGAUUAAAAAGGGAUGGGGUUGGCUUCCUAAUAUGGUCUUGGGCAAUUCUUCCCUCAUGGUGUCAAAGCGCAGGACCCAUCUCAAUUCCUUUUUUCCGAUGUUGGGCCUCUUUGUUUAAUUGCUCACACUCCAGAUGCCCAACCUUGGGCGUGAGGUGGGGAGUCGAAGAGUCCCACAUUGGAUGAAAAAGAGAUGGGUGGUCUCUUUAUAUGUUCUUGGACAACCCUCCCUUCUUGAGCUAGAUUUUAGGGUUAAGUCCAAGAUUUAUUUACAGUAAGAAUUGAAUUAGGAGAGAUAUUCUAUUCAGUUCUCUUUCCUUUUAGGGACUUCAUGUUCUUUGCAUAAGUUGAGGUUAUUAAUAGGAUUGAGGUUCCAAAUCUUUGCAACUGAAAAUAACAAUAAUAAAAAAAAUCUUUGCAACUGAAAAUCUGAAUCCUAUAUUGAUAAAGUUUUGGCUUCCACAACUACUAAACCAAUUGGAAUACGAAUCCUCAGCACAUCCUAAAUCUUUUUUUGUACACUUUUUUCCAUCCAUUCACUAUCAAAGUAAAUUUUAACAUUUUGCAGGAGGAAUCAGGAAGACUCAAGUUUGUAUGUGUUUCAAACGAUGGCAUUGAUGAGCAUAUGAUUUGGUAUCAAUAUUUCUUCUUAUGUUGUUAAACAUAAUGUUUUGACAUGCGAUCUAUCUAGACUACCAGUAAUUGCUAUACGUUCUUUCCAGGUUAAUAGGAUUGAAGAAUAUAUUUGCAAGGCAACUCCCCAACAUGCCUAAGGAAUAUAUUGUCCGUCUUGUGAUGGACAGGUGUGAAUCUUGAAAUGUUUUUUUUUAGUAUUUGGAUCUUCUUUAUUUCUCUUGACAUGGCUAGAGCUGUGUUUUGUAAAUAAGGUAUAUGCGAAUACUCAUUGCCAAUUUUCUCUUCAUCCUGAAGAAUUAAAAUAUGUAUCAAUCUACUGGUGUGUGAAGGCGGAGAGAGCCAGAAGAAUGAAGAAUCUAGAGGAAGGUAAAAAGAGGAGUUAGCGACAUAUGCAAUAACUCAAGAGAUCGGUUGGAGAGGAUAAUCAAAUAUUUAAUCCUCUCAUAUGGUAGUAAUAGCAAAUUAGAGCAGGAACUUCAUUGAGUCAAUAGAGGUGAAUGAACGGUUUUUAAGGGUGAGGAGGUAACACGAGCGGUUGUGUAUUUUAUGAACAUUUGUGUAGGGAGGAGAUGAGUUGGAAACUUGAGAUGGGAGAGACAGUGUAAAAUCAAAUAGGAGAGAAAAAGAGGGAGUGAUAAGGCUAUUGGAGAAGAGGAGAUGUAAGCGGCAAUGGAGAGUUGUGCCGCAGACAAGACCCCUAGAACAAAUGUAUUCACACUGGCUUUUCUCCUAUAAUGGUAGAUCACAAUUAAGGGAGUUGUGAUGGAAGCCAUAAUUGUAUUUCAAGAAGCUGGAGAGUAUGAAUAACCAUGGGUCCUGGUUAGUGUAGAUGAUUGCUGCUCUUCAUAGAUAAUAAUAUUUCUGUCUAAGCUCUUUUCUGUUUGUUUGAUUGACCUGCAUUCAUUAAGUUUUUGCUUUAUCACCCAAAAGAAAAAGAAGAAAAAGAAAAGAAAGAGAGAAAAUGCUCAUAGUGACCUUCUAUAGCUUUUCUUGUUACCUAAUAGCGUGUGAUUUGUUGUGUUUGUAAAGUAUUCUUAGUCUCUUUUCCAUUUCUGCUUGUUACAGAAACCAUAAGUCUGUAAUGGUCAUCAGACUUAAUCUGGUGGUUGGUGGUAUAACAUAUCGUCCAUAUGCCAGGUAAUUGUCUUGUUCUUUUUGUUAUUCUAUUCGUACAGCAAAAGGUUGGAGUCAUUGUGUGAUUCUUUUCAUCCAACAGAGUAUGCUUUUCCUGAUUUUAAAAAUGGUUUCCCACUUUGCUGCUUAAAGUUAGUAAUUAAAUGCUGAAUUUCGUUUCAUCUAAUCAUAGUGUUUUCAUGUUAUCUCUUACUUCUGGAGGUGGAUUCAUAUUCAUCAGCAUGCAGUUUAUUUUAUUCCCAGUUGAUUUAUAGUUACUUUUUGGAUUAUUCAUCAGUACUUUUUUUUUCUUUUAAUAAGUGAGGACUUGUCAAUACUUUCUGGACAGUUGCAUAAAGUGGGUUUAAGAGCCCGUUUGGGAUUGCUGUUACAAAACUGCUUAUUUGAGAAGCACUUCUGUAAAAUCUUUUCAGAAAGUGUUUUUGAAAAAAAGCAAUUUGUGUUUGGUAAAUUCAUUUGAAAAGUGCUUUUGAUAAACUGAUUGUGUUUGGAUAAUCUUUUUCAAGAAGUGUUUUUUUGAGACAAAUGACCAAAAAGGACAUGUAUCAAUAUAUAUAUGUGUGUGUGUGACAGUGAUAGGGAUAUUUUUGUCAUGAAAAAAAUAAUUUUCCACUUCUGUUGUUUUUGAAAAGUAGAAAUAUUUUUCUUCUUCCCAGAAACAGAAAAAUUGCUCUUUCCAAAAGCAGAAAAACUGCUUCUGCUUCUUUUUAAAAGCACUUUUGUCAGUUUACCAAACACCCUUUUAAAAAAAGUGCUUUUUUUUGGAAAAUAAGCAAAUCCCAAACAGGCACUAAGAGCCCGUGUGGGCUUACCGUUACAAAACUACUUAUUUGAGAAGCACUUUUAUAAAGUAGCUUUUUAUAAAAGUGCUUUUGAAAAAAAACAAUUUGUGUUUGGUAAAUUCGUUUGAAAAGUGCUUUUUGAUAAACAAAUUGCGUUUGGAUAGUCUUUUCCAAGAAGUGCUUUUUUGAGGCAAAUGUCCAAUAAGUAUGUACUUUUACUACUAAAAUCAAUUUAUAGAGAAAAUUUAUCUUAAAUAUCUAUUAUGAUAUUUUUAAUUAAAAUUUUAUUUUUAUUUAAUUAAAAAGUAUGUACUCUAAAAUUUUCAAUUAAUAUUAUAUACAUAAAUACAUUAAAAAUAUUAAAUAAUGAUAUAUUACUUAAAUAAUUUAAAUAUUAUUUAAAAACAUCAAACGAAAAGGAAUAUAAAAAUUAUUCCAUAAAAUAAAUCACUACAUAUGAAAAAAAUUAUUUCAUAAAGAAUUAUGAUGUAAAUAUCAAGUAUAGAAUUUUAAAAUUAAACUUUAAUUAAACUUAUCAGAUAUGUUAAUUAAUUAAUAAGGGAUAUAAAUAUAUAUAUGCGUGUGUGUGUGUAUAUAUAUAUAUACAUGUAUGUAUGUAUAUGUAUAUGUGUUUGAGUGAGAGAGAGAGAGAGUGUGAUAGGGAUAUUUUUAUAUAUAUAUAUAUGCGUGUGUGUAUGUCUAUUAAGAUUGGCGACGGAACCGAAAGAUUUCGUUCCGGUCCGUCAACUCCAUUUUUGGUUCGGUUCCGGUACCGGUAACACAACGGUACCGGUUGGUGCCGGUAUACCGGUACCCAAUGGUCCGGAAUACGGUACCGGUGCAAAACCUCGAAAAAUUCCGGUAUUUCCGGUACCGAUUGACCAGUGCCGGUACCGGUUGACCGGUUUCGGUCCGUCGACUCCGUUAAAGUGUGCGCUACAGUAGCCACUUAUUUGCUUUCCAUUACUCCGUUAAAGUGUUAGAAUAGUUUCUGCCCUUUUUUUUAUUUUAUUUGGAUUGGUAUAAGAUUCGACUGACAACGACUCUUUUGGCCAUUGCAAAUGUAGCCGUUGCCACACAACCCCACACCACCUCUUAAAAUUUUCACUAUAAAUAUCCUCCAUUUCAAUUCUUUUUCCACACAAAUAUUCUUAAUUCUCAUACUCUCUCUUAAUAUUCUCACAUUCUCUCUAAAUAUUUUUAAUUAUUAUAUUAGUUGGAGUUGAAGAUUUUUUGAAGAUAUUACAAGCUUCAAUUAUCAUCUUUUAAUUUCGACAUUUGGUAUACGUCUGCUUUUACGCAGACAUUCGGUAUAUUCGUUCCUACUUUAAUCUCUUUUUAUUUACGUUAAUAUCUAUAUUUUUGCUUGUUUUAAUAUUUUAAUUUUAAUUAUGGAUUUCGGAAAAAUUAGUAGUGGUAAAAAACCAAUCUUUGGUAAGUUUUUUCGUAGAAAUAAAAAAAGUAAGGCUACUACUAGUACUAGUUCAGUACCUCCUAGACUUAAUGAGACUUCUUUAUCAUAGCCUAAUGGUUUCGACGUUGGUAUCGGUCUGGAAUUUGAUCAUGAGACCCUAAGUAGGUGUUAUGAUAAUUUUGAGGAAGACUUACCGGAAGAAGAUGAUAUAGAAAAACAAGAGUUAGGUGAUACCCUUACCCCUACUAGUCUGGUUACGGAAUUAUCGAAAUACGGUGAAGAACUUCCCCUUUACCGGAAUUUACUAGGGCCAAAGGUACCGAACGUACUAAAAGGUCUUUAGUUUGGAAAUUUAUGGAGCACGAUAGGGUAAAAAGUACUGCUACUUGCAAUAAAUGCAAGAGUUUUUUUAAACAUUUGAUCGGGGGAAAAAGUGGCGGGACAGGGUUGCUUCGCAUUUGAUGAAAUGUAAUAAAGAAUUUAUUCGUCUAAAAAAGGAGGCUAAGGAAAAAAAAGAUGGUAAACCAUUUGUGCAUGAAUCUGUAGGAGUUAAUGUGGUUCAAACGCGUUUAGACAUGUUUAACCCGGCUGGCCCAAGUUCAUCAUUGACAUAUAGUGAAGAUCUAGAUAGAAGAACUAGCGAAAAUUGUUGCUGUUAUGGGUUUGUCUUUUAGUUUUCCUUCGCAUUCCGGUUUUAUUCAUUAUAUUCAAUGAGUAUAUAAUCCCUCUUUUAAAGGUUUUUCACAAAAUACAAUUAAAAAUGAUAUUUUUAAAUUUCAAGCUGAACAUUGCCAUUUUCUUCGUUGCUUAUUUGAUAAAUUUGAUGGUAAAGUAUCUGUUACUUCUGAUAUGGGUCGUAGUGUUGUCGGUAAUGAUUAUUUUACUCUCACGGCUCAUUGGAUUGAUCACGAUUGGAACAUGCAAAAAAGAAUUAUUGCUUAUAAAUAUAUUGACGAGUCUAAAAUCAGUAUGUAUAUAGCUAGUACAAUAACGGAGAGCAUGAAAUAUUUUAGAUUUAUUGGUAAACCUAUGGCAUGCACAUUAGAUAAUGCUUCUAAUAACUUGAAAGCUAUUGACGAGUUAACAACUAGAUUAUGUCCUAUGGAUGAAGAUCAUUUUCAUGUGAGAUGUACUGCACAUAUUUUCCUACUUAGGAAUGUCGAGGCAUACUUUUGUUGUGAAAUAACAAUACCUUAUUUGGAUUGAUCAACUUCAAUACCUAGAAAAUACUUUAGUUCGUUGAGAUAGUCUAGAAAUGUCUAAAGAGAUGUUGCUUUAAAUUAGUGAUACCAUCCCGAUCAUUGCCAGUGAUAACAAUUAGUAAACACGUCACUAAAUGAAUUCACAGAUUUGGAGCAGAAUGCCGAUAAAACACAGAGUGAUCAACUUCACUGCAGUCAUGCUAAAUUCUUGAAUUACUAUACUGAACUUCCCAAACUAGAUUCGAGAGAUUGUUUUAAACCACAGAGUGAUCGGCACAAUCGACAUACAAGGCUACUAGAUUCCCUUCAACCAAAAAAACCAAUUGGUUCCUCCGUAUAGACUUCUUCAUCAAGGUCACUAUAGAAAAAGCAUUUUCAGUGUCCAAAUGCUAAAGAGGCCAAUGAUGAACAACUAACAACAUACCCUGUGUAGUUGCAUAAGUGGGGUCUGGGGAGGGUAGUGUGUAUACAACCUUACCCCCUAUCUUAUGAAGAUAGAGAGACUGUUUCCAAUGAGCUCUCAACCUAAGUAACACAUGUAUAAAAACAAUAUGAAAAGGAAAUAUAGUAAUCAAGAAGUCAUGCUCAAAAUAAUGGAGAAACAAACAAUAACAAUAACAAAUCGAACAAUAACCUAACUAACAAAAAUGAGAAGUCUCACUUCAUGGUUCCUAACAUGUAAUUAAGUCUUCAAGUAAUAAUUUUGCUAUGAUGAAAAAAGAACUUUUAGAUUUUUCUUCUCUUAACCUUUUAUCUACCAUGGAUAACGUAUUUACUUCAGAUUAGGAGGAAAAUCCUUUAAUAUCACUGAAUCUAAGUCGAGAAGUGAGACUUGGUUCGAGUGGGUUGAAAGCUCUAGGCUUUACCUGGGAAGAAUGGUGUUUAGUAAAGCUGGGUAGUUAGUAGACUCAUUGAGGCCUUAUCUUUCAAAGGAAGAUUUCACAAGACAUAGAGUAGUCGAGAUAGGGCGGCAGAGUUGUUCCGUACUCUGAAAUUCAACAACUUUGGCUGAUUCAUAUCUAUCAUUGUAGUCAAGGGAACUCUAGAUUAGUAAUCAUUGUGCAAAAGAACAAAUUUAAUGAUGGGUUGUCUGGUCUUGUAUCAAAAAUUGAACGCUUCAUUAAUAGGGAGAUUAUCACCUAGAAAAUGUUAAAUGCUGAAAGGACAGAAGAGUCAAGGAUGGUGACCGGAGAGAGAAACUUCACGCAGUCUCUAACGAAGUCUAGACGGAUUUCAGGGGGAUCCGAGUUAGACUAUAUGAAGGGUGAUAACAACAAGAAUGGUAUUUUCAAAUGGUGUUUGGUGGGGAGUUUCUCGGAUUGCAAUGAAAUUCCCUCCCGGAACGAUGUCCGAAAGUGGGCAAGUCAGACAUGGAUAGGCAACAACAAUAUCUAAGUCUUUAACAGAAUGGUACCCAAUUUUUGUUUGAAUUUCAAUAGGAAAAAGAUGCUAAACACAUUCUAAAGGGAGAAUGGAAACAAAGCAAGAGCAUUAAGCUGGACUGGUGGUUGCCAACAACGGGGGCGUUCCUAUUGCAAACCAAGUUCAAAUGGUUUUGGAUCAGGGUUUUGGUUCUCCCCUUACAACUCUGGUUUCAAGAAGUGAUGAAAGAAAUUUGGGAGGAAUGUGGUGAUUGGCUGGAGACGAAAGAGGCGAUGGAACUCAAGAACCAUCUGAGAUGGGCCUGAAUCAAAGUCAAGGGCCGCAUGGAGAAAAUUUCGAUGACAGUCGAAGUGAAAGACAGAGAAUGGAUUUUCACACUUUCGGUGUGGUGUGAAACUUCGGCAAAAGGGCAGAAAAGUCAAAGAAGAUGACAACAGUAGGUUGGAUAAGACCUUUCACAAAAGUGGGGAGAGAAAAGUCAGGUUAGAUUGCCGAGGAGAAACAAGAAAAUCAGAUAGCUGGAAGAGGAAUAGUGAUGGAAGAACCGGUGGACAUUAAUGUGGAGGAGGUUUUUACAUGGUGUAUAAACUACUCUUAUGUGGCAGCAACUAAUAACCCUACGUUGGGACUAAGGCCUUUUGAAUUUUGGGCCACCAACUCGUUUAAAUAAAAGUGGGUCUUUUUCAAAGCUAAACAUUUAGCCCGGGGCAAAAAUAAGAACCCCUUAAUUGCAGAACCUUUCAUAGACACAAUUAACUUUGACCUGAUCAAAACUAUUGAAGGUAGAAGUUCUGUAAGUUUUAACUAUGAAACUGAGAUGAUGAAAACAGAUACGCACAUGCAAAUGCAAGAUGGAAGCCUGACACUCUUGACUAUUGUGAGUUUUGGCCAGAUGGAAACAAACUUAAAAAUUGAGUUGGUUGAAAUUGAUGAAGGGAGAAGAAAAGCCGCGGAAAAUCAAAUAAUUCCUCUUAAAGAGCCUUCUCCCAUUCAAUCCGACUCUAGUAAUAGUAGUGGGGAGGUAGAGGCAAGAGCAACAUCAUCGGUACAGACCAUCAUUAGAUAAAGCAAACAAUUUGGUGCAAUGUUCAAUGGGCUAGGAAAAGAUGUAGAAAUACUUUUCGAGAAACUCGACCAGAGAAGGGGCACACCUAAGACCAGCAACAAUACUACAACAACAACAACAAACCCAGUGUAUUCCCACCUAGGGGUCUGGGUGGGUAAGAUGUACGCAGUCCAUACCUCUACCUCUGAAGAAGUAGAAAGGCUGUUUCCGAUAGACCCCCGGCUUAAGACACGAGAUACCACACAAAC
rnacentral:lncRNA from 1 species